rnacentral:rRNA from 1 species
GCCCAUCAGAAGGGGAUAACACUUGGAAACAGGUGCUAAUACCGUAUAACAAUCGAAACCGCAUGGUUUCGUUUUGAAAGGCGCUUUACGGUGCCGCUGAUGGAUGGACCCGCGGUGCAUUAGCUAGUUGGUGAGGUAACGGCUCACCAAGGCCACGAUGCAUAGCCGACCUGAGAGGGUGAUCGGCCACAUUGGGACUGAGACACGGCCCAAACUCCUACGGGAGGCAGCAGUAGGGAAUCUUCGGCAAUGGACGAAAGUCUGACCGAGCAACGCCGCGUGAGUGAAGAAGGUUUUCGGAUCGUAAAACUCUGUUGUUAGAGAAGAACAAGGGUGAGAGUAACUGUUCACCCCUUGACGGU